rnacentral:rRNA from 1 species
GACGAACGCUGGCGGCGUGCUUAACACAUGCAAGUCGAGCGGAGAUAUAGAGGUGAGCAAUCACCGAAAUAUUUUAGCGGCGGACGGGUGAGUAACGCGUGAGCAACCUACCUAUUAGAGGGGGAUAACACAUCGAAAGGUGUGCUAAUACCGCAUAGAGCGAAGGACCCGCAUGGGAACUUCGUAAAAGGAGCAAUCCGCUAGUAGAUGGGCUCGCGUCCCAUUAGCUAGUUGGUAGGGUAAGAGCCUACCAAGGCGACGAUGGGUAGCCGACCUGAGAGGGUGAUCGGCCACAUUGGGACUGAGACACGGCCCAGACUCCUACGGGAGGCAGCAGUGGGGAAUAUUGCGCAAUGGGGGGAACCCUGACGCAGCGACGCCGCGUGAAGGAUGAGGGCCUUCGGGUCGGUAAACUUUGUUCAUCUGGGACGAUAAUGACGGUACCAGAGGAGGAAGACCACGGCCAACUACGUG